rnacentral:siRNA from 1 species
AGGGUUUGAAGGGUUGUUGGAGUU